AAGGCCCAGGAAGAAAAAAGGUACAGCUAGUUAGUGCAACAGUGGAAAUCAGUUCCUACUUUUGCAAAAAGUGCUCUAGGGAAUUAAAACGGGUCUCUAUUGUCUGCUCUGCCACUGAAUGACUGCAAUUAUGAUUCCUGUUCCUUAAUUUUUUUCCAAAAUGAGCUAUGGCAAGAAAUAACAGGAGAGGAGCUCUGGGCAAAGGCUACUAAAAUGGACUGGCAAUGCAACAUGUCUGAACAGUCUAGAAUUAAAGGUGUGAUUUUUAGUACCUUUUUAUGGCUGGAUUGACCAUGUGUCUGGAUUGUCAGCUAAUGAGAAUGCAGCCGAAGCCUUAUUGGUGUUCAACCCUGUUUUAGCCACAUCUUUUGGUCUCCAGCCCUUGCCUCAAGGUAAUGGGAGAACUAGGCAAUAUUCCCCACUCCUCUCAUAAGGCCCCUCUCAAACUCACCUCAGCUCAAAAAUAGCACUCGUAUAUAAAGGCUAUGAACAGUAGGCUCUCACUGAGUCCUAAUCCCAAGACUGCCAGUGCCAAUGCCUAGCGGACUCUGCAUCUUUCCUGAAGUAACUAACACAGGCUUUACUAAAAGGGAGACCAUUCACCCUUUUUGUUUGUUUGUUUGUUUUGAGACAAAGUCUUUCUUUGUUGCCCAGGCUGUUGCCCAGGAGUGCAGUGGUGUGAUCUUGGCUCACUGCAACCUGCAAACCCUCCAGAGUGUAACUUGUGAUAUAAUUGGAAAGAAAGCAAAUGUAUCUUAAAUGAUGCAAGAACAACACAAAACAAGAUGCCCACUUUUGCAAAAGAAGAAAUCUUCCAAUUUAUAAGAUCUGAAGAGAUAACAAGCCCAAGGGUAGUCUAAAGCAAAUAGGAGUCAAAAGCCUCCCAGAGGUGGGAGACGUGUCUCCUUUUGGAAAUUCAGUUGUUUUUUAUGGCACCAUACAAUUUUUCUAUACUGGAUUAUUAUUAUUAUUAUUUUUGAGACGGAGUCUCACUGUGUCGCCCAGGCUGGAGAGCAAUGGUGGGAUCUCGGCUCACUGCAACCUCCGCCUCCCAGGUUCAAGCAAUUCUGCUGCCUCAGCCUCCUGAGUAGCUGGGAUUAUAGGCGCCUGCCACCAGGCCCGGCUAAUUUUUGUAUUUUUAGUAGAGACGGGGUUUCACCACGUUGGCCAGGCUGGUCUCGAACUCCUGACCUCAGGUGAUCUGCUUGCCUGGGCCUCCCAAAAUGCUGGGAUUACAGGCGUGAACCACUGUGCCUGGCCUUCCAUACUGGAUUCUUAUGUGAGCUGUACCAGUUACAUUUUCCACAACCGCAUAUUAUACCACAAACCAGUCUGACCUGCAAGGGAAGUACAAGCAUUGGUCCUUUUGCAACGCCCUGCUGCCUAACCAGUUUGUAUUUGCAAAAGUGACACAUGGCCAGUUUAAGUUGGAGAUGUCCUAGGGAAGGGUGGAUGGUUGUUGUAUGAGGCCUUGCCUAGGGUCCUUUCUGGGCCUACUUAGGGCUUCAGAUGCAAUGGAGAUGACGGAUUUUAUUUCAUCAAAUGGUAUUAAUGUCAUUUCUGGAUCAGGCAUUGUGCUGGCAUCCUGAAGAAUUCAUAGUCUAGGUAGGAGAGAAAGGAAGAUAUACAUGUGGCUAGUGAUUACCUAAGAUGAAUUGUAAAGCAGAAUAAGCAACAUUCUAUGGUGAUGGAGCAGGAGUUAAUAGUUCUCAUGGAAGAUCCUGGAAGGUUAGUGGAGGAAGGAGCAUUUCCACUGGGCCUUGAAAGAUAAGUAGGUAUUCCAAAGACAGAGAAGGGCAUUAUAAAUUGAGGAAAUCUGUGAACAAAGUUAUCAGAGGCAUGAGCUUAAGGAAGAUCUACUGGCAGCCUGGGUAGGGCAACUGGGGAGAAUUCUUUGGGCCUUUUUCUUAUGGAGAGGGGAUCGGUCAACACUUCACCUUACUCUUCCUGUGAGCAUCAAUACAAUUUAAUUUUGAAAAUUGUAUCUUUAGUUAUACUCCAAGGGACCUAUGGAAGUUACUGAUAGUGUGGCCUCCUUUCAAGGGAGAGUAUUUGAGGUAGCCAGUGCUGGUUGAGUUGUCCCAGACCCUGCUCUCUUCUACGGAUGGCCAAAUGUAUUGGGCUAGAGUAUAGGGUACAUCAGAAGAGGAUUGCAGUGCUUUCUUUGGCAGCACAUAUACUAAAAAUGGAACAACAUAGAGAAGAUUAGCAUGGCCCCUGCACAAGGAUGACAAACAGAUUCAUGAAGCAUUCCAUAUUUUUUUAAAAAGAAGAAGAGGGUUGCAGAGAUCCUGAGCAAAAAGAACAAAGCUGGAGGCAUCACACUGCCUUACUUCAAAGUAUACUUUGGUUACAAAGCCAUAGUAACCAAAACAGCUUGCUACCAGCAUAAAUACAAACCUGUAGACCAAUGGAACAGAAUAGAGAACCCUGGAAAAAGUCCAUGCAUUUACAGCCAAUUCGUUUUUGAAAAAAGAUCCCAAGAACAUACCUUGGGGAAAGAACAGCCUCUUCAAUAAAUGGUGCUGGGAAAACUGGAUAACCAUAUGCAAAAGAAUGAAACUAGACCCCUACCUCUCACCAUAUACAAAAAUCAAAUCAAAAGAAAGACUUAAAUCUAAGACCUGAAACUAUGACACCACUAGCAAAACAUAUUGGAGGCUGGGUGCGGUGGCUCACGCCUGUAAUCCCAGCACUUUGGGAGGCUGAGGCGGGUGGAUCACUUGGGGUCAGGAGUUCAAGACCAGCCUGACCAACAUGGUGAAACCCUGUCUCUAUUAAAAAAAAAAUACAAAAAUUAGCCAGGUGUGGUGAUGGGUGGCUAUAAUCCCAGCUACUCGGGAGGCUGAGGCGGGAGAAUCGCUUGAACCCAGGAGGUGGAAGUUGCAGUAAGCUGAGAUCACAC
rnacentral:lncRNA from 1 species